GACGAACGCUGGCGGCGUGCUUAACACAUGCAAGUCGAACGGAAAGGCCCCUUUGGGGGUACUCGAGUGGCGAACGGGUGAGUAACACGUGAGUAACCUGCCCUUGCCUUCGGGAUAACUUCAGGAAACUGGGGCUACUACCGGAUAGGAAUCCUUGCUGCAUGGUGGGGGUUGGAAAGCUUCGGCGGUUUUGGAUGGACUCUCGGCUUAUCUGCUUGUUGGUGGGGUAGUGGCUUACCAAGGCUUUGACGGGUAGCCGGCCUGAGAGGGCGACCGGCCAUAGUGGGACUGAGAUACGGCCCAGACUCCUACGGGGGGCAGCAGUGGGGAAUAUUGCACAAAGGGCGGAAGCCUGAUGCAGCAACGCCGCGUGCGGGAUGACGGCCUUCGGGUUGUAAACCGCUUUCAGCAGGGGCGAAGCUUGUGGUGACGGUACCUGCAGAAGAAGCACCGGCUAACUACGUG
rnacentral:rRNA from 1 species